GUCUACAGCCAUACCACCCCAAAUGUGCCGGGUCUCGUCUGAUUUUGGAAGCUAAGCAGGGUCAGGCCUGGUUAGUACAGGCAUGGUUAAGACAUUUUGCAUUCAGACCGCUUGGCCA
rnacentral:rRNA from 1 species